AGAGGAGUUGUGAAGUGUCGGUGGAGCCCAGCUCAGCAGUCUGUCGCUCAUCUUUUCUCUUUUCUGACUUUCUCGGUGCAGGAUUGGAGGGGUCAUGAGGAGCACAGGCUCAUUGGGUUUUCUCCUUUUAAUCCCAGGCUCUCUUAAAAAACCUGUUUGUUUUUUAGUAUGUGUGUGUUUGCAUGUUCAGUGUGGUUUUAGUAUCAGUGAAAGGAAAAAAAACAGCUUUAAAUCAAUACUGAAUGUGUAAAAAGUCAAUGAUUUUUCAGUAUAAAAUGCUCUCCUGGAUUUCAUCAGCGCAUCAAGAUGGCGGCACUUUCGCAUGCAUCAGAAUGAGCAAUGGUAUAGCUGCCACUCUGACACUCAUGAUUGCCCGUAGAGGAGGAUGGACUUGAUUCGGAGCGGCACUCCCAUCACUCCGCCUAAUGAUGAGCAGGGUUGUCAAGGAGACGGAGAAUUGAGUAUCAUGGAUGAGGGGAGGCCAAGUACCCGUGGUAGGAAGGGAAAAUAUAGCAUGCUCUCCUGCCAAUUUAUACAGAGUCACAAGUGGAAAGAAAUAAUGACACCGAGCUUGGAAGAUGAAGGUUCAUGUCAUGUGGUAAUAAGGCGACUUUGAGGGUACUUCGACAUCUGACCUGAGCGGUUUCAAUCAAAACAAACUAACGAAAUACACUGACCAGUUUGGCCGUCAUUAGACAGCUGGAAAAACUGAUAACCAGGAGGGCUUAGUCUGCUUCCAAACAUCUGGAUACAAGCUUGAGUUGGUAGAGACAUAUUGUGGUUAUCAUUUCAUAACAAAAUCAGUUAUAAAAGAUAUGAAAUGAAUGCAAAUGUGAGACAGGCUUUCAUAUUAUCACGUCGUACAAAAAAGCAGAAUUGAGAGAGACAUUUAUUGAUUUUCCUCAUGCAGGUUCUUCAGAUUUUUUUGCGUCUUUCAUGAACAAACAGCUGAGGAGAAGCAGAAAAUGUGAUGGUGAAGGGGAAGGUAUAACAUGCACUGAAUGGUUGUAGUUUUGGAGGUCAAACCAGCAUCUAGAGCAUCAACUAUACUCUGUUUUGCUCAACUUGAGAGCAGGAUGCCUGAGGUAGGAAUCACUUCACAUUUGAGUUGACUGUGUUCCAGACACGAGUCAAAAUUAGUUUAGCCAUUAGCUUUUGUUCACUGUUCAUACCAGCAAUAACAAAUCACAGCAUGUUAGUAUAGAGCUGUGUGGCGCUGCAGUGGUUAGGGCAGUUUCUGGUUUGAAUCCCUGGGUGUGUGUUGGGGCUUUUCUGCGCAGAUUUUGCCCUUCCUCUCUGUUCAUGUGUGGUUCCCCGACAGUCCUAAAACACGCUUGUCAGGUGAAUGAUGCUCUAAAUCACCCUUUGGGAAUUUAAACCUCCUGUUAUCUCAAAAUUUUCUUCAUGAUUUUUUUUUUGGCUCACCUGUGAACAAAAAGGUGAGUAUUUAUUGAGAUUAUUUUUAGGCUUUUGAUGCCUGUAUUUAAGAGCGAGAGUAGAAGACUGGGAUGAGAGGGUCAGGGAUGACAUGCUGCCAAGUGCCACAGGUUGAUCUGAACUCAGGCCAUGUGCUUUGAGCGCUAAAGCCCCCCUGUACAGGGGGCAUUUGAUCUAAUCUCUGAGCUAAACCUGCUCUCUGCUCCUUUUAUUCUUUGACAUGUAAAACAGGAAAAUGAAAAAGCAGAGAUUCCCAGACGAGGCUAACAAAGGCUGUAAUUCCAUCAAACACUUCUGAUCUGCUUUAUAUUUCAAUAUCUCAAACGUGACGGCAGUAAUUCCCCGAAGCAUCUCUGCUGAUCUUAUCGCAUUUGCUAAACCAUCCAUCCACACCGGGAGGAACAAAUGCAAUAAAAAGGAGGUAAAGCAGAAGCCUCGUCUAAUCCAGCCUGAGGCGGACAGAGGCCGCAGCACGUUCACAUACCUCCUGUCUCCUUCAAGAGUUGACGUCACCGUCCCUCAUCUUGUCAUAAACCUGCCAAUUCCUCUCCUCCUGCCUGAGCCCCAGAAGAAUACCAGCUGCUGUGUUUUCAGCUCAUACCGCAUGUCAGACUGACCUUCCACCAUCUUCCUUCUGCUGCGGUAAAAGUUGUCAAAUCCUGGGAAGUUGGGUAACUUCACUUACGGUGAACUUAACAUAAACUCUCCCAGUUUGCAUGUUGCGCAACUCCCCCCUCCUCUCCGCUCAUCUGCUGUCCCUGUCCUGGCCUGUGAAGAAAAAUCCAGUUUGACAGCUUUAGUGACGGCAAGCAGAGGCACAUUCACAGAGUGCUGCUCUUUACUGUACAAACUGUUGCACUUCAAUUUCGACUGCAGCUCUUAGACACUGUCAUGCAGCGUGUCACACGCAGCUUCACUUUCUGACUCAAACUGCAAGAAUGUAUUCAGAGGUGGCUGCACUCUCUCCGUGCUUGUGGCCUAAUUGGAGUGGAAUUAAAUAUCUUUGGUUGAAAACCCAGCCAGCGCUGUAGAGGGCUUCCAUUUGCAUUUCAUAAAACGCAGCUUCCGCAGGAGAUAUCAGUCUUUCCCCCAGUAAUGGAAUCUUUUAUUCGGUCUAAUUUGAGCAGCUCUGCUUCUCAUGAGUCAUAAUCCUCGUUUGUGGCUCUGCCCUCUCAUUAAGGAAUAAAAUGUAAAUGACACUAACAGUACAGGAAAAAAACACAGUCCCAGAGCAUCUUCUAAGUCUGUGGCUGCAUUAACCUCCUUGUGAGUGUGUGUGUGUGUGUGUGUGUGUUUGUGUGCGUGGUAGAAAACUGUGAUGUUGUGCACAUAUGUAAAAUAUGCAUGAAUCACCCACGUGUUUUCUCAUAAAUGCAUCCGUCCUUUUUACUAUGACUCAGCAGGGGUUUUAUUCACAGCACGGCCUCUAUUUAUGUAGUUUAUUUCUGUCUUUUUAAAAUCUCCUAUAAAAGAGAUCCGUCAUGUAUGUUAUUGUUAUACUGUAAAAUCAUAUAAUACUGACAUGAAUUGAAGCCUACAUACAACUAAACUCAUAAGACUACAAAGUCACAGUUGAGAUUAUAUGAAGUGGAUAGUUUUAUUUGAUAUUUCCGAGUGAAUGAAAGCAAAAACAAAAAGUCUUUAUGACAUAACUAUUCAUUCUUUAUCUAAGAAUUCACUCUUAUCUUCAGGGAGCCCUCUCUUCUUUUCAUCUCAACCUUUUUUUUCCCUCUUUUAUUUAUUCCAGUCAUCUUGUUUCCUGCCGCAGCCUGUAAACUUGGCUGUGAGCUAAAAAUAAACUGGAUUGCUGGGAUAGUCCUCAUACCAGGAGAUGUGUUUAUAGCAGACGCAGAAGUUUCUCUCAAAAUGGAGAUGGCCGAGAUUACAUUAAACUUCUCUCCCCCUGAUCCUUUCAUGCAUAUUUCCAAAUAGACAAUCGCUUCUUUUGUGGAGCUGUCUCCUGAGCAGAUACGUGUAAUCCCUCAGCAGUCAAGGUGGUCCUGCAAACCUCUGUCCAAUCACCUCACCUAAGGCCCGGGGAAAUAGAGCAUGUAAUCGCUCACUGUCUGUCUCAGAAACUAAUAGGCAAGGGCUUAACUUGUGUGUGUGUGUCUGCAUGUGAGUGUGUGUGUGUGUGUGUGUGUGUGUGUGUGUGUGUGUGUGUAUGCGUGUGUGUGUGUGUGUCUGCAUGUGAGUGUGUGUGUGUUAGAGAGAGACUGCAUAUCAAACAUGUUGAUUUAUUUUGUGUUUUUGUGCCUUUUUUGGACUGAAUGUCGCACUUCAGCGCAGUGAAGUCUGUACUCUCUCUUGCUUUAUUUAUAUAUUUUUGCUCAGUGUCGUCUUUCAGGGUGUGAUUUUCUACUGCAAUAAGGAUUGUCUAUUUAAAAAAGAAAUCAUUUCUUGUUUUAAUAGUUGAUGGGUCAUGUUGUAACCAGGAAUAAAGAACUUUUUUUUUGCUCCUGCUUCUUAAAAGUAGGACUUUUGAUUGUUUUAUUCACAUCAGCCUCAUUAAACAAAGAGUCUUAGUUGUUGGUUGCACAUAAGACACAAUUUGAAAACAGCUUAUUUGAAAAACUAAAGAAUUGAUAUGUACAAUAAUGUGCAUAUUAUCCAUAAUAGGAAUGUUUAUUUGUUGUAGUUUGGAUGUGAAUCCUCUGCUUCAUAAUUCUCUGAGGGGUUAUUUUGUGGUCAGCAACUUGAGAUCUUUCCAUAAUUUUAAUCCAAGGAUUUACAGAAUUUUAUUACCAUUUAAGGCACUAAAAAUGCCACUGCCAAUUUCAAAGCCAUAUUGAGCCAGGUUAUGUAAUAUAGCCUUGUGAUUGACUGCCAACCUGUCCACGGUGGAUCCUCUCUAAUGCCCUAUGUGAGCUGGGAUAAGCGGUUUAAGAGUGGAGUGCAUGGAUGGUUAUGGAUUAUUUUGUAAUGACCUGUCACUCGUCACCGGAAAACUGAGCUUUACACACUCACUUUAAGAUUACCCUGCACUUUAGGAAUAACAGCACAUCAGGUGUGUUAGGUCAGGCUUCCUCAGUGAUGCCAAAAUUACUCUUAAUGAAUCCCGAACCAACUGUGGUUCAAAUUGCAGUUAGUAGAGCUGUCCCGAUACAAUAUUAAUAUUUGAUAAUCGAUCUGAUAUCAGCCAAAAAACAAAUAGCAGAUUCUAAAAUCUCCAAUAUCAGCACUCCGAUUCUAGCAGUCCAUUCCAGACUCCACUCCAACACCGACAUCUAGCAGCGCCUGGAUCCAGCGUGCAGAGUCCACACAAUCACAACAACAGUGUGUACCAAGGGACUAACAAAGUAGCAAGGAGUAAGACUGAUGCCGGCUGUGUGG